rnacentral:misc_RNA from 1 species
AAGGAGGUAAAAUUCU